AAAAGACAUAUGAUCCAGAUUGUGUGAAAGAAAGACCGAAAAAGAAAGGGAAACAGAUUGUCGGUCCUGGUCACGGCCCACAAGGAGCCUCUCAUGCCCAAACAGAGAGGUGCCUGCCUACGAGUAAACCAAGACGCAGCGCGUAUCCCACGCCCGACAAUGCAACAUUCUGAACCACUUCCCUCAUACAGACCCGGGAUGACAUUUUGACUUUCUAACUUGUUGCUGUAUGGGAUUGAACAAAUCAUUUAGCCUGAGACUGUUCCCUGCUUUGUACAACAGUGCCUAGGAAAUGCUAAUGAGAAAACGGGAGUGGUAGCGAUAACGGUAAUAGUGAUAAUGCUGCUAGUGGAGGAAAGAUGGCGACGGUGGUGAUGAUUCCGUCAAGAUGUGAUGGUGGCGAUAACAGUAGUGGCCGCGUAGAUGGUACAGAGAUGAUGGUGAUGCUGGUAGAGGUGGAGACAGCAGGAGUAGUGAUGACGACAGCGGUGAUGGAGGCCAUGGUGGCGGCUGCAGGGUUCUGAAGAACCGAACCGUGAAGCAAUUUUGCAGAAACUGUGUUCUGUGGAGGUUUGGGGAAGUAUCGGACAGUGGGGAUAUGAGAGCUGAGUUGGGACCCAAGCUCAAGUCCGAAGCCAUGACCAGCAAUCCAUGCCGUCUCUCACCCCUCCAUCUCGCAUCUGCAUCGCAUCUGCAAACUGGGCAUUAAUCUACACAAAGUUGUGGGUCUCAGACUGAACUCAAUCGUUUUGCAUAGCUGGG
rnacentral:lncRNA from 1 species